rnacentral:rRNA from 1 species
UACGUAGGGGGCAAGCGUUGUCCGGAUUUAUUGGGCGUAAAGAGCUCGUAGGCGGCUUGUCACGUCGAUUGUGAAAGCUCGGGGCUUAACCCCGAGUCUGCAGUCGAUACGGGCUAGCUAGAGUGUGGUAGGGGAGAUCGGAAUUCCUGGUGUAGCGGUGAAAUGCGCAGAUAUCAGGAGGAACACCGGUGGCGAAGGCGGAUCUCUGGGCCUGUUCUGACGCUGAGGCGCGAAAGCUAGGGGAGCGAACAGG